CCGAGCGUAAAGGAAAGAAGUAACCAAGGGCCAAAUGAAAGACGAAGGGACCUGAGUUGAUAGAAGAAUAUAGCUCCAGGAGCAUACUAGAGAAGAGAAGGUAUGUUCUUGCAAAGAAAGAAGGAAGUAGGAGGGCCAAUGGAAGAUGUGAUCGACGGGAUCAAAUCCCUAGCGCUCUCAAUUCCCAAAAUCAGGUCUGGCAUCUCCAUCUCCUCUCUCCCCCGCCUCCUUCUCCACCUCCGGCCGCCGUCGCGGCCAGGCCGGCGUGGCUGCGCGCCAUCACGCCAUCACCAGCAUCCACCAGCGCCACCAGCAACUCCCCACGCCUCCACCAGCGCCACCAGCAACUCCCCAAGCCUCCACCAGCGCCGCCCCCACCAGUGUUGCCAGCUGCCAGCGCCCAUCUCGCGCGCCCCUUCGGACACGGGCGCGGCGGUGUCUGGCUGCCCGCACGACCCAGCACCAGCGCCUCCGCACACCAUCCAUCCAUUCGAUGCACUGCAACCCAUCCACCAUCACUACCACGAGCCCCUUGCUGCACCUCACGCCACCAAUCUAAAUCUCUUCUUCCAAAUCUUGCUAUUGUUCUUCCAAAUCUUGCUGCUAUUCAUCAUUGGUACUGCCCGCAGUUCUCUUCUCUCCAACCUUCAUCUCCUCACACCCACGCUCCUGCUCCUUCUCUCUUUCUCUCCCUGCCGCCCCACUGCUGCUCCUCUUCUCUCUCAAUGAUUGUUGCUGCUGAUGCCCGCAACCUCCUGUUGCUGCUCCUUCCACGCCCAAGCUGCUGCUCUUCUCUCAACCCCACGUUGCUGCUCCAUCUCUCUACUUCCUUUGCUCCCCUUCUUCUUCUCUGAACUCAAACUGCUGUCGCGUCUCUUCUCUCUUUAAUUCUUGCAAAUUUCUGUAAAGGUGAACCUUGUGUACUGUUCUAAACACCCAAUUUGUGCUUAUUUUAUGUAUGUAUCAGUGUCUGCAAUAUAUGUGAAACUGUGAGUUGUUGAGCCGAUCAUUUCCGAGUAGACUUGUACUGUCAUAUAUUGUGAGUCAUAUAUAUUUAUAAAUUCGUGAGUGUGGUUAAUUCUAGUAACUGUGGUGUUGCAUAUUUGUGGAUCUCAUGUACAUGUUUUAACCUAUGAAUUCCAUUGCUAUAGAACUCAAUGCUGCUCUACAUCAUCUUAAAUGUCCUUUUGUGAAAUCCUGUACUAUAAUGUUUUUGCCCCUUAUCCUUUAGGCUUGCCUGUGUUAGUAUUUUAAUUUCUUAAGCAAAACGAAAAUACCAAAAAGACGAUGAUUGAAAUCUCAACCUUCCUAUGCUUGUUUGUUUUUCUUUGUCGACAAUUUUCCAAAAUGAUAGUUUAGGUUUAUUUCCCUGUAAUCAUCACUUGAAUUGUGUUAACUAGAUUUAGCCGAGUAUAGUUGCUAUUGCCUAGUCCCUGUGGAGAACUUCAACAACCCACUGUUUGGACGUAAACCUCACUGUAUUUACAACUGAUCAUUUUGGCGCCAUUGCUGGGGAUUAGCGUCGAGCGAUUGUGUUAGGCUAUAUAUAGAUUAGGUUUUUCUUGUUUUAUUUUUGUGACAUUUAUAUGUGAUAUAUAUCUAACCCCUAACCACUGUUCUAGUUAUUUUCUCUUUCUUUUCUUGUUCGUUUUGUAGGUUGGACUGUCUUCUUGGAAAUGGCAUUCUACUUAGAUCAUUAUGUUUAUGUGAGAAAUAGCAUGGAAAGUGUUCAAGACAUGAUAAGGCCAUUCACAUGCUCAUUGUCAGCGUGGUUACUCUCACCCUCCAGGUUGUUUUGGCAUGAGCUUCGCUCAAGAGCAUAACUCAUACCAAAACAAUUACUCACAUGGGUGGUCUGAAAACCUGAAUAUGUCAUAUAGGAGCAACAACCCUGAGAUCUCAUCAUUUGCCUCUAGUUAUCCAAUGCAGGGAUUUAGGUAUGAAGAGGAGAGCAACAAUUAUGCACCACAAUUAUUCAGCUCCUAUUCAUGUACCUCAACACUUAGAGAUAUGCCCGUUGGAGUUAAAUGGUCCUCCAUUUGGUCAACGAAUUACUCCAGCACCAAAUGAGGCGUUAGAGCAAUCUCAUGUGCAAGUGCCCACACAAGAUGAGUUCGCUGACAUAGAACACAUUUGAGUCUCGAGUUCACUUGGAGUGCUAAGGAUGAUCCUAUUAGGAAGGUUAUACUAGAGAAAAUGAAGAAGAUUAAGAGUGGAAAAGAGCUAGUGGAAGAAGUAAGGAAGAUAGACAAGAAUAUGAAUGUUGGAAGUACUAUCUCAUCACUACUCGAGCUGAGUGUUUUCUGGGAUUCCCCUUGAUACAUGUGAGGUUCCAACACCGUCACAUCCAGCUGAGCAAGAUAGCAAGAGCCCAGAGGAAGAAAGACCUCAGAUUGAAGAAUAAAUACUCGAAGACAAGGAACAAGAUGAUCCAGAGCUGGAAUUCCCAAGUGAUGAAGAUGAAGACAAAAGAUCUACUACUCUUGAAGAAGUAAAAGAAGUUGUAGUUGAAGAUGAAGAAUUAGAGAUUCAAUUGCCUAUCAUCAUUCAAGAGUGUGAUAUUGCAGGUUUAUCUAAUCCUCUUGAUGACAUGCGUCCGUAUAAUCUAUUUGCUACUACCUUGCAUUACAUGAUACCAUCACUUAAGAUUGAUUUGAAAGCUCAUUUGCUUGGAUAUGAUGAUACAUACACUGUUGGUGGCAUUGCUCUCAUUUAUGAUGAUGACAUUUAUUCUCCUCAUGCUAGACCUAUGCUUAAUGAUAAAUAUCAUCCUCAUGUUAGUAUUGAGCUUGCUGAUUCCUAUCAUACUCGUCAUGUUCUAUAUUCCUAUGCUUAUGUAAUUGGAUACUCGAUUGACGACUUAAGAGGGCUUCGACCAUAUCACUUGUAGUCGUUGUUUGCGUGAGUCAUAUUUCAGGUUUUUGCUUGUGCACGAAUCAAUAGAUGCUGACUAGGUUCGAGGUGACAUCGCUUGGGAUCCCAGUGGAGUUAGAGCAUGGCGAUGAGAAGCAGUGGGGCACACAUAUGGAAGAGUGAAGCUGGAGCUUGCAUGUAGAAGCAAAAGGAGAAGAGCUACAGUUCAUAGAGUGAUUGUGCGAGACCUACAUCAUAUAAGUCGGAUGUCGGAGCCCAGGAGCCAGAUGCCACCGUCGAUGCCUACUACUACGUGGAGACCGCCGACGAUUAGGAGUAGUUAGGAGGCUCCUAAGCAGGAGGCCUUGCCUUUUCGAUCAAU